GCAGGCGCAGGCUGAGGCCCUCAGGUCCCCAGCGGGUCCUCGGCAUCAGUCACUCUCUACGGGCCAGACCUGGGGGUCACUGCCUGCAGGAGCCUCCGUGCGCGGCCCCACUCCCUCACCUGCGACCCCGUGGGGAGGCGACCCCAACCUCCCUCGUUCCGGACUCCAGCAGGGCGCCCGCAGCCAGCGGUCCCCUCCCGAGUCUCCGCUCCUGCCGGGAUUCUGCAGGAGGGGGACCUCAUCGCCGCGGCUGGGAAGCCGUGCGAGUUUCAGUCCACUCGAAGGCUCAGAAGGUCUUGGAAAAUUGGGGACAUACAUCUUUAAAAGCUGGAGACACUUUACGGAGCGAAAUAUCUGCACCGCCCCCGCCCCCGCCCUCGCCCUCGCCCCCGCCCCCGCCCCCAACUCCUGUUCUACCUCCCUUCCCUGGGCAGGUCUGGGUGAUGGGGCCACCUUGGCGUGGGGAUCGGGCCUGGUACCCUGCACCGGGUAGUGGCGCGGUGUGUCCCUAGGCAAAUUUGGAAAAAGCCGAAACCUGCGGGGCAGCGGCGGCGACCCCUGGGCACAGCGUCCCCUGGCGGCCGCCGGGCUCAGCCAGUUCUGGGAGCCGGGAGGUCGCCGGGAGGUCGCCGGGAGAGUGGGCCCAAGGCAGGAUCAGCCCAGCGCCUCCAGGUAUACAGUGAAAAGUCUUCAUCCCAGAAAAACUGUCAGCCAAAUGUUAAAAUUGAGGCACAUUCUACAAAAUACCCGACUAGUACUCCUCAGAACAGUCAAAGUCAUCAAAACCCAGGAAGAAUCUGAGAAAUUGUCAUAGCCAAGAACAGCCUAAGGAGACAGGACCAUUAAAUGUAAUGUUGUGUCAUGGAUGAGGUCCUGGAGCAGAAAAACGGACAUCUGGUGAAAACUAAGGAAAUCCGAGUCAAGACGGACUUUAGUUAAAGCAUCAACACCGGUUCACUAUUUGUAACAAACAACCCAUACUAACUACCAAUGCUAAUAAUAUGGGAACCUGGGUGCAGGCUUUAUGGAGACUCUUAUUAUCUUUGCAAUUUUUCUGUGACGCUAAAACUGUUUAGAAAAUAAAGUUUAUUUUUUUAAAAAGA